CCUUUGUUUUGGGAUCCCACUGUGCUGUCGGGCGCUGCGGAACCCCCAGAGGAGACAGGUGAACGGCUCGGGCAGAGACUGCCACCGCACAUGACUCACUCCCAAGUGGCAGAUUAUGAACCUGAAAUUCCGGGAUGAGGUCAUUUUGCCUGAAGUUAUCUAUCAUCUAUCUGCCUUAGCAGCAAUCCGGAACAACAUGGAAGCAGCAACCUGUGUUUCAUCCAACACUGAGGCCACUGGCAAGCUUUCAAAUUUCUUCUGGCGGUUAUCUAGAGAAAUAUUAGAUCAAUGCCUUAAUUAGUCAUCAUCAGAGAAGCUUCCUCCUGCAGCUCAUGGGAGCAGAUACAGAGACCCACAGCCAGAGAGAGUCCUUGGAACACUUAGCACUAAGUGGGAGGUCUCCAUCAAAUCUUUCCCCUCAGAGCUCAGAGAACCCCAAGGAAGAGGAGGUGGAAAGAGUGGAAGAGCCAGAGAGAAUGGAAGGCACCAGGAGAACAAGGCCCUCUGAAUCAACUAAGCAAGGCUCAUAUGAAUUCACAGAGAUGGAAGCAGCAAGCAUAGACCAGGUCCUCUGGGUAUAUAGCUUUCAUUCUGCUCAGUAUUUUAUUGGGACUUCUGAUUGUGUGAAGAAGUGGACUUUUUUUGUUUGUUUUUUGAGCCUGAGUAGCCUUGGCUGUCCCAGAACUUCCUUUGUAGACCAGGUUGGCCUUGAACUAAUAGAUUCACCUGCCUCUGCCUCUCAAGUGCUGGGAUUAAAGGCAUGCACCACCACAGCCCAGCUGGGUCUCUGAUUCUUGUGCCCGCUCCUGGGGCUCUUUUCCUUCUGUUGACUUGCUUUGUCCAGACUCAGUCUUUUAAAGGCCUGUUCUUCUCUAAUGAGACAGAAAUGAAGUGGAUCCAGAGGAGAGGGCAGGUAGGAUGAAACUGGGAGUAGAGGGAGGGAAAACUAUAAUCAGGAACUCCCCCUUUUAUUGAAAAAUAAUAUUUUCAAUAAAGGGGGGAACAAUUAUUACUCUUUAUUGGUUUUUGUUUUCAUGCUGACUCUUGCAGCCAUGUAGCUUAGGUUGGCCUGCGACUGGGCUCCCCUUCCGGCUUGAUGGGAUUACAUACAAAUUCUUGAGACAAGAUCUUAUAAACUGCUUAGGAUCCUCUUGUGUUUCAGCCUUCUGAGAAGGCCCUGAUGCCUGACUGAGUGGCUAGCUCUGAGACAGGGCUCCGUGUACCCUACAGCUGGUUUCAAACCUUCUAUGUAGCGAAUGACCAAGAACUUCUGAUCCACCUGCUUCACUCCUAUUAUAAUUACAGGGAUGCAUCACCACGUCUGGUUUGUGUGAUGCUGCAAUUAAACCCAGAACCUCCUGCAUGCUAGGCAAGCAUGCUACCAGCUGGGCCUUUCUAAGUGGCUAGUUAUACAUUUACCAUCUUGGAGCAUUACCUCUCAAUAAGUCACUCUUAUCACCACUUAUUGCACAUGGCUCCCUCACUUUUCUAUACUCUACUCAUCUCUUGCUCCACUUGCCACUGUUAUACGCCUUUUUAUUAUCAAACAGGAUACUAAACAGUGUAUUUAUUCUGCACAAGGACGAUAAUUAAACCCUUGGAGAAUGGCCAUUCAUUGUUCAACCUCAGUAAAAAAUCCACUUGAGCCGGGCGGUGGUGGCGCACACCUUUAAUCCCAGUACUCGGGAGGCAGAGCCAGGCGGAUCUCUGUGAGUUCGAGGCCAGCCUGGGCUACCAAGUGAGUCCCAGGAAAGGCGCAAAGCUACACAGAGAAACCCUGUCUCGAAAAACCAAAAAAAAAAAAAAAAAAAAAAUCCACUUGAGUAGAAUGACACUGUCUUUAUUGUUCUGACUUUACCAUCUCUUUUCUUGCAUGAUUAACCUGUACUGCUUUUUUGGGGGUGGGAAGGGGCGCUGGCCACCUACUCACAUUUUUCCUGCCUCCAACCCUCCUGAGUGUUGUGAUUGUAAGUGUGAACCACCACCACCACACCAGGCUAACUUUGGUUUCUUUAAUAUUCCAUAAGAUUAAUUAUCUAACAUGGUGUUCCCAGGAUUUCUACUGAGCCUCCAACGUGGCUCUCUGGCCAAUAGGCAUCUAAGAACUUCCCUUUAUUGAACUCCACUAUACAAUUUUGUCUCUACACCCCAAGUAACCUCCAUUUUCCAACUCUACACUCAGAAAGACAUCAGUAAUCACAGGAGGGUAACUUUAUAUUCAGUACAAAUGUUUAUUUUUGCAAUGAGAACUGCACAAAAAAAAACCCCUUUAGUAUAUAAGUGAAAAGUCUAUGAAUUUCCUUCUACAAAUAUCUAAAGUAUUUUAAUACAAGUCUCAGAUUCACUGACAUAAAUUAUUGGCCAAGCGACCCGUGCAUACAGUACAGUGGGGGCUUGUACACACCUUAUUCUUGUAUAGGACUAAGAUGUUCUAGUACUGCGGGAAGGACUUGAAAAUGGUCAGAAAUUAAAUAGAUCCCAGUUCUAAUUACAACCCAGUUAGAGGAACACCCAUCAGAAGGUGUGGAGGCCAUUUAAAACUUGAGCAAGAAGGUACAGAUGAAAUCAUUUCCCCAGCUCAAAAGUGGGGCCCAGCAUGGGGAAAUAAUCUGAACAAGAGUGGUAGAAAAAACCUCAGAGGACCAAAAUGCCAUCAUUCCCACAUAGUAGUAUAUGAAAUGCCUGGAGGGGGACAGGACUUUAAGAACAGGGAGGUGAACACUGGCUGGGUACCCUAACUGUGAGGUUUGGCCUUUCUGGUUGAAGGGUAGGAGAUACAGGUUAACAGUGCUAGAAAUAUUUCAGUCUUGUCUCUGCAUACAUAUAAUUAUUUAUCUUACAUCUUAGGGACGACUGUUCUUGGGCGCCACCCACGCCUUGUAGCUGUGGCAUGUGUGAACAGGUGGGCAGGAAAGCCAUCUGGGGGCUUUCUUAGCAGAAAUGUGUUCAUAUGUGGGAUACAGAAACCCUAUUUGGAGGGAAUGUACACUUACCUAAGAGUAUCUGGUUAACCCUGAGCUUAAAUCAAAUUAGGAGUUAGGUAGAGGCAAGCAUGGUGGGUAAAGUGGCCCAGAGCCUUGUGUGAAGAGGAGACCAGGAUGGAGGAGGCCAUCGUUGAGAGUGUGGUCUGGAUAUUGGCCAAGGUUUCACUGAGGCCCAUCCACCCAGUCCAGGUAUUAACAGAGUUUCUAGCUCCCUGUUACAGCUUCAACUUGGGGGGAACUCCGAGCCCAAGGAGCUCCUGCCCAGGAAAAGCAGGACCUGCCAGUGGAGCUCAGUGGCCACUGUUGGUAAAUCUUAUGCAAAGGUACCUAGGGACCUGGACCUAGCCUAAGCAAACUAGAAAACCUAGUUGGUUCACAAAGAAAUGUCAGGGAGACACCAGCAUUAAAAAAGAGAGAUGUGUUUAUUCCAUGAUCAGUACAGACCAAAUGCAUAUUCACCAUAUGAAAGUCAAGCCAGUCAGUGACUCCAGAGUUUGGCCAACACCGAGGCACCAGCACUGUGGUGUAGAGUGGGCUCUCAUGGCACGUGUAACCUCACCAGGGGCUCCAAUUAAAAAAAAAAAGAAAAGAAAAA